UCUCCGCCCGCGCCCGCCCUCGCCCCGGGGGAUUCCCAGGUCCGGCCCCUGGCUAUUUGGCUCCACGCGGCCCCGCCCCCAGCCUACCUUCCCACGGUCCGAGCGCUAGGGCCCGAGCGACCCCGACGCUGAGACCCGGCGUCGCCCCCCUCCCCAUUUGCUCUCUGGCCCUCGCCUCAGACGCCUGCAAGUUCUCAGCCUUCCACCCUUGGGGCAGCGUGCCGCGUGGGAAGAGUCGCCCGGCUGUGGGGGUCGGACUCUGGGGACAUCUUGUUGUGCUUGGGCUUUAGAAACCGCAGAUUCAUUAUCCUUGCCUCUGGUUCCUCUCGGGCCCACCACGCGUCACCAGCCCUCCCUGAAGAAGUAGAAAGCAGGUGGCAGCGCCCGGCGGUGCGCGAGUCCCAGGGCGGUGACAGCUUCGGCACCCCUAGGCAGUGGGUCAUCUAAUGCUUCCUACCCCAGUCUCCUCUUCCAGUGCUGGAAUUCGUGUCGGGACGAGGUGGUUUCAGCUUGUACCGUUACCCAGGUCAACAGGGGCUCUUUAGGGACAACAUACACCUUCCUUCCGAAGGAAUGCUCGAAGAUGCCUCUGGUGGCGUUGCCUGCAUCUUUGCGGCUGGAACUGCCGUCGUUUCCCAGUGUACUUUGCAUUGUUUCCUUACCUAGUUCCUGUAACCCGGCCCCGCAAGGAGGAUGUGCGAUUUCCUGGAUUCUUGUGUGUCCGUCCGAACUAAUUCCUCAGAGGAGGGACUGCUUUUCUUACAUAACUUUGUGAUUGCCUACAUUUUGUGAAUGCCGCUGAUCCCUAAACAGUACGUGCGUGUGCUCGGCUGCAGAAUCUUGGUAAACUUAAUGACUUCCAACACUUGAGAGCAAUCCUGAAAAGUCCAGCAAACAUUUAGGAAGUGAAUUAUGUGCCCCAUGCAGUCUGGCCCCUUGAUCUCAAGUGUAUUAACCGUCAUCGUGUGAAAUUAUGGACCUUUCGAUUGUGUGUCAUGAAUGAUGAUAGGAACACAGUGCAAGGUUUACUUUUGUAUGAAGUGGGGUUCUCGUUUAGAUUUGCCUUGUGAUGGCAAAUUUUACCUCGUGUAACGAGUGAGUAAAACAAUGUAAAAUCGGCGUUGGUAUUGUUCAUGGUUUUUAAGUAUGUCUGAGAAAAGACUAACUUCUUAUUGGGCACUCUUUUUCUCUAUACCAACUUACAUUGGAAAAGAUUUCCUUUUCAUGGCCGUACCAUUUGAGAUUUAAAAGAUAGGUGUGCAUUUCAGAAACCCUAGAAAGCACUGCAAGUUUAUUUCUUUCACAAAAGAUCAGAAAUCUUAUGGGAGUCCUGGCUGCUACCCCCACCCCCUUUUAUUUCCUGAUGAUAAUUUUCCUUGAGGCCCUCAUGAA